GAUACAAUAGGGCUCCGCCUUCUCUGCUUGGUUCUGUUUGAGUUGGUGACAAAACUACAACCUUGUGGUUGGAGGUGGAGGGCCGUCAGUAGGCUAUCCCAUGCUUAUCUAAACAAUUUUUGGAAUAUUGCAGUCUGGAAAAUUUAAUAUACCUGAAAACUGGCUAGAAAUGUCUUGACAUAAAAUUUAUCCACUCCGCAGUUCGUGCAUGUAUAUUGAUAACAAUGGAGGGGCUCAUGAAGUAGAUCUAAAGGAAGUCCAAGCAACAAAACUUGAUCCUCUUUCAUCACAUACCGUGAGCCUGAUUGAUGGAAUUAAUCAAAGUGAGGCGAGGCGUAGAGCUCUAAUUCUCUUCUUCAUCACGCACUUGAAUAAGAACACAAAGGUGAUUUCUGGUAGUCACUGAUAGCUCGGGUAAAAUGUAUUUGUCUUCUCUGAGUUCUCAUGCCCAAUAUCUGGACGCAUAUCUUCUUUCUAUAGAUCGGAAAGGACUUGAUGUACUGGGAAAAGUUUUAGGUCCAAUAAGGAGCGAUGGUUCUCGUGAAUAUCAGUGGAGGAAGUUCAGAAUUGAAUUCAUAGAAGAGGCUCACACAGUUGAAACAUUCUGCAGUCAGCUUGUUGAAAUGGAGGAGGAAUCACUUAAGAAUAUCUCCAACUUUAGUGGUAUAUAAA